rnacentral:rRNA from 1 species
AAUGGAAAAAUUUACUUUAUUUAUUUUUUAAUUAAUUAUUAAUUGAAAUACCUAAUUGUUAUUGUAUUUAUUUAUGAAAUAAUUUAAUUGGUUAUAGUUUAUUUGUACUUUGAAGGAUUAUUGAAAUAUAUAAUUUAUUAUUGAAAGUUAAUUUAUUUUAUUGUACCUUGUGUAUCAGGAUUUAUUAAAGAUAAAAUAUUUAUUUUAUUAUUCCCGAUUUUAGGAGAGCUAUAAUAUUAGAAAUAUUAAUGUUAUAUAAUUAUUUAUAAUAAUAUUAUAGUGGUGAAAUGCUAAUCGUUUCUAAUGGUAUCUGGUUUUUUAAGAAAUGAAUUUAAUUCAGACAUUUAUUUGAUAUAAUUUUAGUUAUUAAUUCAUAUUGAAUUAUUGUUAAUGUUUUGGGGGACAAGCUUUGGAAUAAAAUUUAAUAAAUUAUUAUUUGAUGUAAGUAAAUUAGAUUUAGAAGUGAUUGUUAUUUAAUGUAUGUUAAAAUUUUACUUAUUUAUUAAUAUAUUUAUAUUUUAAUUUUUAGUUUUUUAUUAAAAAGUGUUAUUUAAUUAUUAAAUAAUUGAUAUUAUGAUAAAAUUAGUAUAAUUUGUUUAUAAAUUAUUAUUAUAAAUUAAUAGGAAAUUUUGAGGAAUUAGGCAAAAUAUAUAUUCGCCUGUUUAACAAAAACAUCUCUUUUCGUUUAUUUGAAAAGUAUAACCUGCCCACUGAUUAUUUUUGAAGGGCCGCGGUAAUUUGACCGUGCAAAGGUAGCAUAAUCAUUAGUCUCUUAAUUAGGGGCUGGAAUGAAUGGUUGGACGAAAUAUAUACUGUCUUAUUAUUUAAAUUAGAAUUUAAUUAUUAAGUAAGAAAGCUUAAAUGUUAUUAUGGGACGAGAAGACCCUAUAGAGUUUAAUAUUUGAUUUUAUUAUAUUUGUAUGUUUAUUUUUAUAUAAAUUUAAUUAUUUUGUUGGGGUGAUGGAAAGAUAAUUUAAACUCUUUUUAUUGAUUAAUAUUAAUAUAUAGUUUAUUGAUCCAUUUUUAGUGAUUAUAAGACUAAAUUACCUUAGGGAUAACAGCGUAAUCUUUUUUGAGAGUUCUAAUCGACAAAAAGGGUUGCGACCUCGAUGUUGGAUUAAGAUAUACAUUAGGUGUAGAAGUUUAAAGUGUUAGGUCUGUUCGACCUUUAAAAUCUUACAUGAUCUGAGUUCAAACCGGCGUGAGCCAGGUUGGUUUCUAUCUAUAAUUAAUUAUGAUAUUUUAGUACGAAAGGACCAAAUAUUGAAAAUAAUUUUGUUAAAAUAUGAUUUUUAUUAAUUU